CCUACGGGAGGCUGCAGUGAGGAAUAUUGGUCAAUGGACGAGAGUCUGAACCAGCCAAGUAGCGUGAAGGAUGACUGCCCUAUGGGUUGUAAACUUCUUUUAUAUGGGAAUAAAAUGUUCCACGUGUGGGAUUUUGUAUGUACCAUAUGAAUAAGGAUCGGCUAACUCCGUGCCAGCAGCCGCGGUAAUACGGAGGAUCCGAGCGUUAUCCGGAUUUAUUGGGUUUAAAGGGAGCGUAGGUGGAUUGUUAAGUCAGUUGUGAAAGUUUGCGGCUCAACCGUAAAAUUGCAGUUGAAACUGGCAGUCUUGAGUACAGUAGAGGUGGGCGGAAUUCGUGUUGUAGCGGUGAAAUGCUUAGAUAUCACGAAGAACUCCGAUUGCGAAGGCAGUUCACUGGACUGCAACUGACACUGAGGCUCGAAAGUGUGGGUAUCAAACAGGAUUAGAUACCCGAGUAGUC
rnacentral:rRNA from 1 species